rnacentral:tRNA from 1 species
GCCUGGCUGGCUCAGUUGCUAUAGCAUGCAACUCUUGAUUUCAGGGUUGUGAGUUCAAACCCCAUGUUGGGCA